rnacentral:tRNA from 1 species
GCCUGGCUGGCUCAGUCAGUAGAGCAUGCAACUCUUGAUCUCUGGGUUGUGGGUUUGAGUCCCAUGAUGGGUG